AUUGAACGCUGGCGGCAGGCCUAACACAUGCAAGUCGAGCGGAUGAAGGGAGCUUGCUCCUGGAUUCAGCGGCGGACGGGUGAGUAAUGCCUAGGAAUCUGCCUGGUAGUGGGGGAUAACGUCCGGAAACGGGCGCUAAUACCGCAUACGUCCUGAGGGAGAAAGUGGGGGAUCUUCGGACCUCACGCUAUCAGAUGAGCCUAGGUCGGAUUAGCUAGUUGGUGGGGUAAAGGCCUACCAAGGCGACGAUCCGUAACUGGUCUGAGAGGAUGAUCAGUCACACUGGAACUGAGACACGGUCCAGACUCCUACGGGAGGCAGCAGUGGGGAAUAUUGGGCAAUGGGCGAAGGCCUGAUCCAGCCAUGCCGCGUGUGUGAAGAAGGUCUUCGGAUUGUAAAGCACUUUAAGUUGGGAGGAAGGGCAGUAAGUUAAUACCUUGCUGUUUUGACGUUACCAACAGAAUAAGCACCGGCUAACUUCGUG
rnacentral:rRNA from 1 species